rnacentral:rRNA from 1 species
AGCGAACGCUGGCGGCAGGCCUAACACAUGCAAGUCGAACGAAGCCUUCGGGCUUAGUGGCGGACGGGUGAGUAACACGUGGGAACGUACCUUUUGGUUCGGAAUAACGCAGAGAAAUUUGCGCUAAUACCGAAUGAGCCCUAAGGGGGAAAGAUUUAUCGCCGAAAGAGCGGCCCGCGUUGGAUUAGGUAGUUGGUGUGGUAAAGGCGCACCAAGCCUACGAUCCAUAGCUGGUCUGAGAGGAUGAUCAGCCACACUGGGACUGAGACACGGCCCAGACUCCUACGGGAGGCAGCAGUGGGGAAUCUUGCGCAAUGGGCGAAAGCCUGACGCAGCCAUGCCGCGUGAAUGAUGAAGGUCUUAGGAUUGUAAAAUUCUUUUACCAGGGACGAUAAUGACGGUACCUGGAGAAAAAGCCCCGGCUAACUUCGUGCCAGCCGCCGCGGUAA